UACGGAGGGGGCUAGCGUUGUUCGGAAUUACUGGGCGUAAAGCGCACGUAGGCGGCAUUGCAAGUCGGAUGUGAAAUCCCUCGGCUUAACCAAGGAAGUGCAUCCGAAACUGCAGUGCUUGAGUACUUAAGAGGAUCGCGGAAUUCCCGGUGUAGAGGUGAAAUUCGUAGAUAUCGGGAGGAACACCAGUGGCGAAGGCGGCGAUCUGGGAAGAUACUGACGCUGAGGUGCGAAAGCGUGGGGAGCAAACAGG
rnacentral:rRNA from 1 species